AUCUCUUCAGUGUUCUUCUCCUACCCGACUCCCUCCAAAAAUUCCAGUCUUCUUCCCUAAAUCAAACUCUUCUCACAACCCUUUAUAAGAGUUUUGAAUCUUCCUUCCCCCUUCUCUUUAAAUCCAUCGACUUAGUCUUGAUUCUUUGAUUUGGACAAAAGCUAACAUAGGGUUUCUGUUUGCUGAGAUCUCUUGAACCUAAGCUUCUCGUUGAGGUUCGCUAGCUUUGAACUCCAUACAUCUUCGGUUCCAGGAGCUGACACCCAUCAUUAGUAUUCGACGAAUUUUGAGGCUCCCUUGCAAUCUUUCACCGAUUCUUAGCUUCUUCAUCGAGAUUAGCUAAGUCGACGAGGAGAUCACGUAUUCCGAGGUGUCGCUCGACCACUGAGUCACCUGAGAGGGAGCCUCUGUCUUUCGCAGGUUGAUGUAUAGAAGGUGUUUGAUGGAAUGACAAAAGGGAUAUAGUUAUUUGGACCACAACGAUUAGCGGUUAUGCCAUAUUGCUAUUGGUUGAGGAGGCAAUAGAGGUGUUUGAUGAAAUGUCCAAGAGAAGUUUGGUUUUGUGGACCGCCAUGAUCUUAGCCCAUCGGUAUGCCUUCCUACGCCCUCCGGAUGCACCUCACCAUUUUCUAUUGUCGUCAACACCUAACGUAAUGCACAGCUACCGCUCAAUCAGAAACCAUUCGUCAAUGCACACUAACUUUUCAAUCAAAUACAUGAGAGAAUCUCCCACUCUUUGCAUUCAAUCAGAUCUUCGCAUUGCUGUCACACUGCAACCUAAACGGCAAAUCAACUACAGCCUGCAAUAUGAUGUACCAAG